rnacentral:rRNA from 1 species
AUUGAACGCUGGCGGCAUGCUUUACACAUGCAAGUCGAACGGCAGCGCGGGCUUCGGCUUGGCGGCGAUUGGCGAACGGGGGAGUAAUGCAUCGGAACGUGCCCAGUAGUGGGGGAUAGCCCGGCGAAAGCCGGAUUAAUACCCCAUACGACCUGAGGGUGAAAGCGGGGGACCGAAAGGCCUCCCGCUUUUGGAGCGGCCGAUUUCGGAUUAGCUAGUUGGUGGGGUAAAGGCUUACCAAGGCGACGAUCCGUAGCUGGUCUGAGAGGACGACCAGCCACACUGGGACUGAGACACGGCCCAGACUCCUACGGGAGGCAGCAGUGGGGAAUUUUGGACAAUGGGGGCAACCCUGAUCCAGCCAUGCCGCGUGCGGGAAGAAGGCCUUCGGGUUGUAAACCGCUUUUGUUCGGGAAGAAAUCCUCUGGGCUAAUACCCCGGGGGGAUGACGGUACCGGAAGAAUAAGCACCGGCUAACUACGU